rnacentral:misc_RNA from 2 species
UUAAGUUCAGCGGGUAUCCCUACCUGAUCCGAGGUCAAAAUUGUGAAGAUAGCUUCUGGGAGCCAAUACGACGGGCCCGAGUUCGCGUUUCUGCUGCGCUCGAAGCCAAUGUACCGGCCGCCAAUAAUUUUGAGGCGAGUCCACGCGCCCGGGGGCGGCGGACAGUCACCCAACACCAAGCUGAGCUUGAAGGUUUAAAU